rnacentral:rRNA from 1 species
CUCGGGGGAGACACUCGAGCCUUCUUGCCGAACAACGAACCCCGGCGCGGUCUGCGCCAAGGAACUUCAACUAAAGAGUGCCUCCGGUCGCCUCGGAAACGGCGUGCGUGCCGGGGGCGAAUCUUGUGCAAAACCAUAACGACUCUCGGCAACGGAUAUCUCGGCUCUCGCAUCGAUGAAGAACGUAGCGAAAUGCGAUACUUGGUGUGAAUUGCAGAAUCCCGCGAAUCAUCGAGUCUUUGAACGCAAGUUGCGCCCGAAGCCAUCUGGUCGAGGGCACGUCUGCCUGGGUGUCACGCAUCGUUGCCCCCAACCCCAUCGCCUCUCCAAGAGACGAGGGCGGUCUGCGGGGCGGACAUUGGCCUCCCGUGAGCUUUCGCUCGCGGCUGGCCUAAAAGCGAGUCCUCGGCGACGAGCGCCACGACAAUCGGUGGUUGACAAACCCUCGUGUCCCGUCGUGCGCGGCUCGUCGCUCGUCUUGUGCUCUGUGACCCUGUAGCGUCGCGCUCGCGACUCUUCCAACGCGACCCCAGGUCAGGCGGGACUACCCGCUGAA